rnacentral:rRNA from 1 species
GAUUAAUACUCCAUAAAGUCAUAAUUUCGCAUGUUAUUAUGAUUAAAGCUCCGGCGGUUAGAGAUGAGCAUGCGUGUCAUUAGCUUGUUGGUGAGGUAACAGCUCACCAAGGCAACGAUGACUAGGGGUUCUGAGAGGAUGAUCCCCCACACUGGUACUGAGACACGGACCAGACUCGCGACGGGAGGCAGCAGUGAGGAAUAUUGGGCAAUGGGCGAAAGCCUGACCCAUCCAUGCCGCGUGCAGGAUGACUGCCCUAUGGGUUGUAAACUGCCUUUAUACGGGAAGAAUGGUUCCUACGUGUAGGGGUUUGACGGUACCGUAAGAACAAGCAUCGGCUAACUCCGUGCCAGCAGCCGCGGUAAUACGGAGGAUGCAAGCGUUAUCCGGAUUCAUUGGGUUUAAAGGGUGCGCAGGCGGAAUAUUAAGUCAGUGGUGAAAUCCUGCAGCUUAACUGUAGAACUGCCAUUGAUACUGAUAUUCUUGAAUGUAGUUGAGGUGGGCGGAAUGUGUAAUGUAGCGGUGAAAUGCUUAGAUAUAACACAGAACACCGAUUGCGAAGGCAGCUCACUAAACUAACAUUGACGCUGAGGCACGAAAGCCUGGGGAGCGAACAGGAUUAGAUACCCUGGUAGUCCACGCUGUAAACUAUGAUCACUCGCUGUUGGCAAUACAUCGUCAGCGGCUGAGCGAAAGCAUUAAGUGAUCCACCUGGGGAUUACGAUCGCAAGAUUGAAACUCAAAGGAAUUGACGGGGGCCCGCACAAGCGGAGGAACAUGUGGUUUAAUUCGAUGAUACGCGAGGAACCUUACCUGGGCUUAAAUGCAGAUCGACGUUCCGGGAAACCGGAAUUCCUUCGGGCGAACUGCAAGGUGCUGCAUGGCUGUCGUCAGCUCGUGCCGUGAGGUGUCGGGUUAAGUCCCAUAACGAGCGCAACCCUUAUCGUUAGUUGCCAGCGGGUAAUGCCGGGGACUCUAACGAAACUGCCGGUGUACCCCGUGAGGAAGGUGGGGAUGACGUCAAGUCAGCACGGCCCUUAUGUCCAGGGCUACACACGUGUUACAAUGGUCGGUACAAAGGGCAGCUACCAGGCAACUGGAUGCUAAUCUCGAAAACCGAUCUCAGUUCGGAUUGAAGUCUGCAACUCGACUUCAUGAAGCUGGAUUCGCUAGUAAUCG